CCUACGGGGGACUGCAGUGAGGAAUAUUGGUCAAUGGGCGCGAGCCUGAACCAGCCACGUAGCGUGAAGGAUGACUGCCCUACGGGUUGUAAACUUCUUUUAUAAAGGAAUAAAGUGAGGCACGGGUGCCUUUUUGUAUGUACUUUAUGAAUAAGGAUCGGCUAACUCCGUGCCAGCAGCCGCGGUAAUACGGAGGAUCCGAGCGUUAUCCGGAUUUAUUGGGUUUAAAGGGAGCGUAGAUGGGUUGUUAAGUCAGUUGUGAAAGUUUGCGGCUCAACCGUAAAAUUGCAAUUGAUACUGGCAGCCUUGAGUACAGUUGAGGUAGGCGGAAUGCGUGGUGUAGCGGGGAAAUGCUUAGAUAUUAGGAGGAACACCGGCGGCGAAGGCGGCCUGCUGGACUGAAACUGACGUUGAGGCUCGAAAGCGUGGGGAGCAAACAGGAUUAGAUACCCCUGUAGUC
rnacentral:rRNA from 1 species